UUGUGCGCCACCAACCAGGAGGACGCUCGCCGUUGUCUCCGGCGCGGUGCUUGCCGGUGGAGCUCUGGCGUACGCCCGCUCGAGCCAGAGCCGCCGGCGGAGGAGGCGCCCGGAGGCGAGUCGCAGCAGCGGAGCCGGUGCAUUGGCCGCCAAUGGGGAUGGUUUCAGCCGGAACGGUGCCGGCGGUGGAUUGGCUGCAGCGGACCAGAGGAGGAGUGGCCUCAAAUCUCUGCAUUUCCUCGCUGCUAUCCUACUCAAGAAGAUAGGGCCCAGUGGCACGCGCUACCUUCUAUGCUUGGUAUUAACAUUGCGCCGCUCGCGAUGACCCCCCUCCAACGAUUCCGGGGUCUUCGCGACCCAAGCGUGACGCUCUACGCCGACGAUGGAGGGGAGCUACACACCACCUCCUCCGUCCGGGCGUUGUUCCACCUCUUUCUUCCCCCCUGUAGGAAUCACGGGACUGAAAGAAAGGAAUUCCUAUCAUCGUUGCAGAUCAAAUACGAUGAACAUAGAAUUGGAGAAAGGUGGAAUCUUUGUGCGUGA
rnacentral:misc_RNA from 1 species